UAAAGAGUUCUAUAACUCCCAAACCCAUGUGAACAUACCUAACGUUGCCUCGGCAGGUCGCACCUACCUUGUAGCACCUUACCCUGUAAGGCCUACCCGGGAGGUGCGGGUAAGCCUGCCGGCGGCCCACCAAACUCUGUUUGAUAUUGAAUUCUGAACCUAUAACUAAAUAAGUUAAAACUUUCAACAACGGAUCUCUUGGUUCUGGCAUCGAUGAAGAACGCAGCGAAAUGCGAUAAGUAAUGUGAAUUGCAGAAUUCAGUGAAUCAUCGAAUCUUUGAACGCAUAUUGCGCCCAUUAGUAUUCUAGUGGGCAGGACCGUUCGAGCGUCAUUUCAACCCUUAAGCCUUCGUUGCUUAGUGUUGGGAGCCUACGGCAACGUAGCUCCUCAAAGUUAGUGGCGGAGUUGGUUCACACUCUAGACGUAGUAAUUUUUUAUCUCGCCUAUUAGUUGAACUAAUACCCUGCCGUAAAACCCCCAAUUUAUCAAGGUUGACCUCGAAUCGGUUCAGACAAACUCGCUAAAUUGAAGCAUCUUAGUCAGCGAAGGAAAAGAAACCA
rnacentral:rRNA from 1 species